rnacentral:rRNA from 1 species
GCUUGUCUCAAAGAUUAAGCCAUGCAUGUCUCAGUAUAAGUUCCUGUACGGCGAAACUGCGAAUGGCUCAUUAAAACAGUUACAGUUUAUUUGAUUUUCCUUACAUGGAUAACUGUGGUAAUUCUAGAGCUAAUACAUGCGCCAAGUCCCGUCUUACGUCGGGAUGUAUUUAUUAGAUUUCAAUCAACACUUUUUGCUGACUCAUGAUAACUUAGCGGAUCGCAGAGGCCUCGCGCCGGCGACAAAUCAUUCAAGUUUCUGCCCUAUCAGCUUUCGAUGGUAGUGUAUUGGACUACCAUGGCAUUCACGGGUAACGGAGGAUUAGGGUUCGAUUCCGGAGAGGGAGCCUGAGAAAUGGCUACCACAUCCAAGGAAGGCAGCAGG